AGAGCACCUCCUUCAAGAAGCCCUCCUGACCCCCGGGCUUCCCAUCAGCCAAACGGGGAGUUCCAGAUGCCCAUAGGAGAAUGCCCAGCACUGCCCACCCACGGCUGGGCUCACAGACACUGGCAGGACCAGCAGAGGACUAGGCACUGGGGAGCCACAGAAGAACUCCUGACAGAGGGAUUCAAGAUCGGCUGUGAAGAGACUGACCCAGCUGCUCAUACUGAACCACAAAGGAGCCCUUGGCUUUAGGAAGAUCACUGACUCAGGGGCUGCCGUGAGGACCAAACUCAAAAGCGUGGAGGCAGAUGCUUGGUUCAUCUUGACAGAGGAUACACUAUCAUCAUCAACAUCAUUAUCAUGGACACACCUCAGCCACGGUCACCUAGGCCAGCGUAGGGCUCAGAGUGUGGAGACCCCAAAAUCAGUGCCAUUGCCAGCCAUGACAGUCUUACCCCAAGGUCCCCCCCGAGACCCCAUCCUCAUAUAAUUGCAGGACCUGCUGUGAAAUUUUAAGAGCAGCAUCAGACCAUACCUUCAUUCCCUAGUUGUGUGACCUUGAGCAAGUCCACUUCACUGAACCUCAGUUUCAUUUAACAAUGGCAAUGAUGGAACUUCCCUGGUGACCCAGUAGCUAAGACCCGUGUUCCCAGUGCAGAAGGCCCAGGUUCGAUCCCUGGUUGAGGAACUAGAUCUCACAUGCUACAACUAAGAGUUUGCAUACCACAAGUAAAGACCCUAAUGCUGUAACUAAAAGAUCCCAAAGGCCACAGAGAAGAUCAAAGAUGCUGCGUGACCCAGUAUGUGUGUGUGUGCUAAGUCGCUUCAGUCUUGUCCGACUCUUUGAGACUCCAUGGACUGUAGCCUGCCAGGCUCCUCUGUCCAUGGGAUUUUUCAGGCAAAAAUAGUGGAGUGGGCUGCCAUGCCUCCUCCAGGGAAUCUUUCCAACCUGGGAGCUGAGACCGCAUCUCCUGCAUUGCAGGCAUCUUCUUUACCCACUGAGCCACCUGGGAAGCC